GGCACUGUGGCUUAGGUGGUGCCUGUUUAGUAAACAGGAGAUCCUGGCUUCAAAUCCCAGCGGUGCCU
rnacentral:tRNA from 1 species